rnacentral:misc_RNA from 1 species
CCGAGUUGCAAAACUCCCAAACCCAUUGUGAACCAAUACCACUGUUGCUUCGGCGGACACGCCCCGGGCGCACCUCCUCACGGGGGCGUGCCCCGGAACCAGGCGCCCGCCGGGGGACCGAAACCUCUGUAUUUACCAUUUGAGUACUCUGAGUGUGAUUUACAAAAUCAAAAUUA